rnacentral:rRNA from 1 species
ACGCACGCUGGCGGCGUGCUUAACCCAUGCCGGUCGAACGGAAAGGCCCUGCUUGCAGGGUACUCGAGUGGCGAACGGGUGAGUAACACGUGGGUGAUCUGCCCUGCACUUCGGGAUAAGCCUGGGAAACUGGGUCUAAUACCGGAUAGGAGCCAUUUUUAGUGUGAUGGUUGGAAAGUUUUUUCGGUGUAGGAUGAGCUCGCGGCCUAUCAGCUUGUUGGUGGGGUAAUGGCCUACCAAGGCGGCGACGGGUAGCCGGCCUGAGAGGGUGGACGGCCACAUUGGGACUGAGAUACGGCCCAGACUCCUACGGGAGGCAGCAGUGGGGAAUAUUGCACAAUGGGCGCAAGCCUGAUGCAGCGACGCCGCGUGGGGGAUGACGGCCUUCGGGUUGUAAACUCCUUUCGCUAGGGACGAAGCUUUUUGUGACGGUACCUAGAUAAGAAGCACCGGCUAACUACGUG